rnacentral:rRNA from 1 species
UGCGUAGGCGGUUCCCUAAGUUUGGUGUGAAAUCUCCCGGCUUAACCGGGAGGGUGCGCCGAAAACUGGGGGGCUAGAGUGCGGGAGGGGAGAGUGGAAUUCCUGGUGUAGCGGUGAAAUGCGUAGAGAUCAGGAGGAACACCUGCGGUGUAAACGGCUCUCUGGACCGUAACUGACGCUGAGGCACGAAAGCGUGGGGAGCAAACAGGAUUAGAUACCCUGGUAGUCCACGCCCUAAACGAUGCAUAUUUGGUGUAGGUCAUUCAGUUGAUCUGUGCCGGAGCUAACGCGUUAAAUAUGCCGCCUGGGGAGUACAGUCGCAAGGCUGAA